rnacentral:lncRNA from 1 species
GCCGGGCGCGCUGCGGGGCCAAGUGCGGAGCGGCGGCGGCGCUGGCAGCGCUCCCGGGCGGAGCGGCCGGGCCCGCGCCCCUCCCCGCCCCUCCCGCCGCCCGCAGCCCCCCCCGCCCGCUGCGCGCCCGCGCCGCCGCUCGCCCGCCCGGGGCCGGCAGCGCUCUGCCCAUGGCUCUCCUCGCUCCCGGAACGUUCCAGUCGUAGGCACAGCCCAGCCGUAUCUGCUCCCUUGCACAGAGCUUUGCUGACCCGAAAAUCUGCUCCAGAACUUUUGGGGAAAACACUAAAGCAGCACAAGGCCAUUUAACCUCACAACUUGAGCCCUGCAGACAAGGUGCAAGGAAGAAGAAUGGAAACACGCCCUGGACUCAAGGUUCCGUGACAGGGAGAGGAUUGCCUUUAGAACUGGGCAGUUCUCAUGCAGCUGAAGGAAUGCCCCAGAUGGAGUUUACUCCAUUCAGCUACAAAAUAGCAAUGGUAACAUAAGCAUACACGGCUUAACUGUACAACAGCAGCAGGACCUUCUCUGAAGGACAGACAUCCUGGGCCCAUGCUCAGCCCCACUUCUGAGGCUUGCCUUAGGAGCUUAGUGCCCCAUACUGCAUCUCCAGGCAUGAUUCUUCACUGUCUGAAAACACAGGGAUGCAACUGUAAAACAGUCAAUAGCUACAUCAUGUAGAAAGGAAUAUCUUCCCAACUCCAUUCCUAGAAAUCUUACGUUCAAUAUUUCUGGUGGCACAAGUAGCUCCUGGUUGCAUAGGACAUGCCAGAUCACCCUUAUUCAGGAUAUUGAUUCUGAAGUAUCACACUUUGAAGCAAAGGUCUCUAGCAUGGUGUGUUGCACUAAGAGCAGAAUUAAACAUAGCACAGAUACAUACAUAUUUGUAGUUCCAUAGAGUAUUCAAAAUACAACUUUCUAGAAAACUGAGUAUGAAUGAGUAAAUGCCUCGAUAGCAAAGAUAACAGGCAUACACUGUCAAAUACCUAAUCUAAUUUCAUAUUCAUUGUUUUUAACCAAAGGGAAAAGACCAAAAUGUACUCUGAUGCUAGAAAAGAAAUGGUUAAGGCACAUACAGCACAGAGUAUUCACACAGGCACACCCCAUAUCUUUGGCAAAAAAUUACUUAGGCUCCUGAGAGAAACAAAUUGUUCAGAAAAA